rnacentral:lncRNA from 1 species
GAGACACGAUACAAGCAAGGGAAUGAUAAUCAAAUAGUAGGAUGAAGGACACGAUCAACAAAUUCUUUACGACCAAAUUAAAAAAAUGACAUGGAGCGACACUAUUUCUCAUUUAAAAGUAUCACAUUUUUAUUGAUUAUAUAUCUUUAUGGUUCAUGAUAAGAUUCACUUCACAAUUUGAAAAAUGUUUCUUUAUAUUCAAGAUUUUAAAUCUCAAUGACGAUGGUGGUUGAGGUUAUCAAGAAAUGGCAUCAAUAUGAGAUAUAAUAUCUUAAAAUUGUUAGAGCACAAACAAUCCUUUAGAUUUUCUGUCCUGAGGAACAAGAACUAGAAACUUAAAGAAAUGACAAUGCAUCAACCAAUACCUUCAAGAUAAAAUAUAGACUAAAUAUGUAUCAUUGUGAAUCUACAAAUGCUAACAUCUACAAAAUUAAGGUAUUAUAUAAGAAUACUAUAUCAAUCAUAUCUGAUUUUCGGGCUGUGAAAAGAACUCCUUUGCUUUAUGAGCUACCUCUGCUUCCAAAAUUGCUUCUUGAACUAUGUCAGAUCCUUUCACAUCAGCUCCUAAUACAACCAAAGCUUGUUUCAAUUCAGAUAUCAUUCUAGAGCAAAUAAAAAACGCUGCAUAAAAAUCACUAUAACAUAGUAUGCGAUGCAGAUAACAGACAAUCAUGAUUAAGUUAUUAUUACCACCACGAUUUGGUAAGAGUCCAGUACUUUCAGCGGAAACUGGCAUGACAAUAAGCUGCAGACCAUCUUUAAUCUUCUCAACUUCAGCACUACUUGCCAAUGAACCAUUCUUGAUGGAAGGGGCCUCGGCCAACCUGGCAUAAGUAGUUGCUUUGCAUUGGAUGGCAAUGGAGUUGAAUUCUAUAAAUAAUUAGACGUGUAAGAAAACACGCUCCCUAGAGGAGUCCAUUCUAUAGAAUUAUUAUUAUUAGUUUCUGUAUGUGGUCAAUAAACCUUGGUAAGAGACGAUAUUGAGAGAUUCACUCCAGCACCUUCCGGUAUCCUAUUGUUUGCAUAUCCACCUACAGCCGAUAACACGGUUAUACAAAAUAUCGGCAUCAAUACAUUUCGAUUAAAUCGCGCAUCAAUGUAAACAAUACCAUUUAAGAUGGAUGGCUGGUCGAGAUUAUCAAGCCUCCGAGUUAAAGGGCCAGGAUUUAUAAAUGAUAGACUUCGAACUUCAUGUUGAAUAGCAUUUACUUCUGCCAUCAUAUCCCGAAGUUCAUUAUGAAGCUAAAAGGCAGAAUAGAAUAUAUGAUUAACUAGAUUGCAAUUUUCAAUUUUCUUACAAUGCAACGAUGAGUUUACGAGUUUUAAUAUGGACAGUGAUAUCCAUAUGAAUCAUAAGUUUGAUAAAAGAAAGGGAGAGUACCUGGCGAGCUUGAGAUUGCUGUAUAACAGAUCCAAGGUGUCCCCGGGCCAAUUGUACAUAUGCAAUAGCCCGGCCAGCCAUCCUCCCAGCUGUUCUGGAGAUCCAAGGUGUCCCCGGGCCAAUUGUACAUAUGCAAUAGCCCGGCCAGCCAUCCUCCCAGCUGUUCUGGUUAUGAUUGGCAAAUCCUUUGGACCUAUUGCACAUUGAUUUUCCGGUUAAACAAUUUUGAUCUAUUGGUACGAAAAUUUCAAUAUGAUAAAGAUAAGUAAGAAUAGCAUGAACCAAACCAAGCAGAGCCGCAGUGGCUCCCAGCAAUAAGAAUAUUUCUCCCUAUGAAAAUCCCAGCAUUGUUGAGUCUUGUUGUGUGAGAUUUCUACUGGAGUAGGGUUAAGAAACGAAGGUUGAGAAUUGAAUGAAAGCUUGAAACCUAAAAAGGUAAAUUGAAAUUAACAGAAUACCUGUGCCGUCAAUUGAAGGGCUUUAACGCGAAAUCGGGAAUCGUGAUGCGCCGGAAGUUAAUCGCCGGUAAAUUGCUUUUUUAUUGCGACAAUAAAUAACUCUGGCAGCUAUUUCAACCGGUUUGCUUACGAGAAAAAGAGAAAACGGCGACUAUUUCAACCGGUUUGCUUACGAGACUAAGAAAAAGAGAAAAAGUUAAGUAUGAUAUAGUAACGAGACUAAGAAAAAGAGAAAACGGCAGCUAUUUUCAAGGGUUUGCUUACGAGACUAAGAAAAAGAGAAAAAGUUAAGUGUGAUAUAGUAACGAGACUAAGAAAAAGAGAAAACGGCAGCUAUUUCAAGGGUUUGCUUACGAGACUAAGAAAAAGAGAAAAAGUUAAGUGUGAUAUAGUAUCGAGACUAAGAAAAAGAGAAAAAGGCAGCUAUUUCAAGGGUUUGCUUACGAGACUAAGAAAAAGAGAAAAAGUUAAGUGUGAUAUAGUAAAAGAAAUAAAAAGUAAACAAACACACUUGGUGGGACUCGAACCCAGAAUCGCUUGAUUAGAGUUUAAAUUGUGCUAUGCAUGCAAAUUUAUUUUCACACUUGGUUCUCAAUCGAAGAAAAAUUGGAGAAAAACAACAAUGAGUUCACCCCAAAUUUGUUAUGGAUACAUUUGUUCUUACAUAUUCUGCGGUUAUUCGUGGUUACAUGAACGUCGGGAGGAAUAAUGAUCCAUUUCCUGAUUUUAAAAGAUAAAUGAAUUGCAACAAAAAAAAUAAUUGCAUAAAGCAAAGAAAAAAAUGGCAAUUAUAAUCUCUUCAUAUCUCAUGUGAUAGUAAUUUAUUCGUAUGGUGGAGGGGUCCAAUGUUCAACCAUAGGAUGAACUUAAAAGAUUUAUCUUUAAGAAAAAUUUGAUUUUUUUUUAUGUUGGUAUUGGUUAAAAAAUUUAAAUAAAAAAAUAUUUAUGUUCAAUGUAUUAAAUAUAUAUAAUAUUUUAUAAAAAAUUUAAUUAUUUAUAGUUUUAGUGAAUUGAAUACAUUUGAUUUUUUUUUAUGUUGGUAUUGGUUAAAAAAUUUAAAUAAAAAAAUAUUUAUGUUCAAUGUAUUAAAUAUAUAUAAUAUUUUAUAAAAAAUUUAAUUAUUUAUAGUUUUAGUGAAUUGAAUACAAAUAAUUUUAAAAAAUUUAUCUUUUUAGUUUUUAAAAUAAUGAUUAACUUAUCUUUUUAAUUUCUUAAAAAAGUGUUCCUACAUUAGUUAGCAUUUCUUUUAAUGUUUGAUAAAAUAACACUGUUAUUAAAAUAUUUUAUAAUGCACCUAGUAAAACCUUUAAAUCAUUUAAAGAAACUUUUAUAGUCAUUUUUUCAUUUCUCCUUUUUUUAGAUGACAAGCCUUGAUCCAAAUUGCAUUGAUCCAAACUUGCAAGCAAGGUAUUUCUUGAAGCAUCAAAAUCAGAGUUACUUAGAGAGCAAACUAAUUCCUAAUCAGAAAAAUUACUGUCUUUUCAUCACGUUUUCUUCUAUGAAUUCAAUGAUCCCACACAACCACCAAGUCCAAAACCUACCACUUCUUUCCCUUCCACAACUCAACAUGCAUAUUUUCCUUUAAAGCCUACAAUCAUCAUUCAUCAUAAAAAGAUUGGAUUUUUAAUGGGUGGCCAACAAAAGAAGAUUAUGGAUUUCAAAGUUUCUCAUAAGUCUGUAGGGUUUGACCUUAUGCAGAACUGUGAUCUUCCUCCACCUUCCAAGGUUUUUUUGGGUUCAGAUAAAACGGUGAUAUUAUCUAUGCAUAAGGUCUGUAAUAUUUCAGGUAGAGAAAAAGGACGAGAUAGCAUACACCAGCUCGAAAAUGAUGAUGACGAAAAGGAUAAAAGAGAGCUUCUUAAGGCGCUGAAAGCAUCUCAAAUACGCGCUAGAGAGGCAGAAAAGAUGGCGGCUAUCCUAAACAAAGUGUGGACAAAAUACAUCAAGCAUGGUUAUGAACAUAUUAAAAUACAUGCAAAUGAAUCUCAAUUCAAAAAAAUAACAUUGCUAGGGCACCACCUUUUUCAUCUUGAUUUAUGACUUAAAUUAUGAAUUAUUUAACAUCUAUCAACUUAGGUUUUUCUCCUAUGUACUAUCUCUUUUCCUGCUUUUAAGGAGUAAAAUCGCCUUUCUUAAUAACCAGAGACACGAUACAAGCAAGGAAUGAUAAUCAAAUAGUAGGAUGAAGGACACGAUCAACAAAUUCUUUAGACAAAUUAAAAAAAUGACAUGGAGCGACACUAUUUCUCAUUUAAAAGUAUCACAUUUUUAUUGAUUAUAUAUCUUUAUGGUUCAUGAUAAGAUUCACUUCACAAUUUGAAAAAUGUUCUUUAUAUUCAAGAUUUUAAAUCUCAAUGACGAUGGUGGUUGAGGUUAUCAAGAAAUGGCAUCAUAUGAGAUAUAAUAUCUUAAAAUUGUUAGAGCACAAACAAUCCUUUAGAUUUUCUGUCCU